AUUGAACGCUGGCGGCAGGCCUAACACAUGCAAGUCGAACGGUAGCACAGAGAGCUUGCUCUCGGGUGACGAGUGGCGGACGGGUGAGUAAUGUCUGGGAAACUGCCCGAUGGAGGGGGAUAACUACUGGAAACGGUAGCUAAUACCGCAUAAUGUCGCAAGACCAAAGAGGGGGACCUUCGGGCCUCUUGCCAUCGGAUGUGCCCAGAUGGGAUUAGCUAGUUGGUGAGGUAAUGGCUCACCAAGGCGACGAUCCCUAGCUGGUCUGAGAGGAUGACCAGCCACACUGGAACGGAGACACGGUCCAGACUCCUACGGGAGGCAGCAGUGGGGAAUAUUGCACAAUGGGCGCAAGCCUGAUGCAGCCAUGCCGCGUGUGUGAAGAAGGCCUUCGGGUUGUAAAGCACUUUCAGCGGGGAGGAAGGCAAUACGGUUAAUAACCGUGUUGAUUGACGUUACCCGCAGAAGAAGCACCGGCUAACUCCGUG
rnacentral:rRNA from 1 species